ACAAAAUUCCAGUUUAGACUAGACCUGGACGCGGGUGGGGUUUGUUUUAGCGGAUAGUCCGACGGGAGGCACAGGGGUCAGGAGGCCAUACUCCGUCCUCUUCGCCCACGGCCCAUGGCGUCGCCCGGGGCAACCGCCCUGCCCCCUGUUUCCAGGUGCUGCUUCUUACAACAACAGGAGGAGGCAGAAAAUGGAGGAUGUCCUUGCAGUCAUUACUUCCUCGACUGCUGUGAAGACGACAGCCUGGUAGAUCAGCAAGCUGGCAGAGUCAAUGUGUAUUGGCAACAGAGAGAUGGGGCUCUCCCACAUAGCUGCCAUGCUGCCAAUUUGUCCAUAAAAUCACUGACUGAAAUAUUAAAGUCUGUGCAUUGUUGACUUGAA